rnacentral:rRNA from 1 species
UACGUAGGGUGCAAGCGUUAAUCGGAAUUACUGGGCGUAAAGCGUGCGCAGGCGGUUUCUUAAGUCAGGUGUGAAAGCCCCGGGCUCAACCUGGGAAUUGCAUUUGAGACUGAAUAGCUAGGGUGCGGAAGAGGGAAGCGGAAUUUCCGGUGUAGCGGUGAAAUGCGUAGAUAUCGGAAGGAACACCAGUGGCGAAAGCGGCUUCCUGGUCCAGCACCGACGUUCAGGCACGAAAGCGUGGGGAGCAAACAGG